GCACCCGUGGCUCAACUGGAUAGAGCUCUGGAUUUCGGCUCCAGCGGUUACAGGUUCGAAUCCUGUCGGGUGUACCA
rnacentral:tRNA from 1 species